AUGGACGGGCGCGGCGACAGCUCGACGGAGGUUGAACAAGACCGGAGCGGCUCGCAGGCGAGGCCACGGCGGCUCGGCACUGACCACUGGCAGUGGCUUGAGGUAGUGGCGUUCCACGGCGGGCGUCUGAAGCACCCACGGCCGUGGCCGCAGCGGGACGGCUCAAGCACGCGCGUGCAUGGCCGCAGCGGGACGAGCAUGAGGCGGCGGCGACUUGGGCGUGGAGGUGCGGGGGCGUCCAUUGGCAACCGCCACGAGCAGGGCAUCGGAUGGUCGUCGCGUCAUCUGAAAGACCAUAUGGAGAUACCCUGCUCCCCAAAGGUACGCGUUUUUGCAUGGAGACUGGUGUCCAACUCGCUCGUAACUUGGGCAAAUAAAUGCCAUCGUCAUCUCGAGCUUACUGAUGUGUGCCCCCUUUGUGGUGUUGAACGGGAGGACGGCUUCCAUGCGAUGUGCAGGUGUCCCCUUGCGGCGGAGUUGUGGAGAGCCAUGGCGCUAGACUGGCCUAUUCCCAAGGUGGAGGACAUCCGAAACAUAGGACCAGAAUGGCUUUUCUCGCUGAUGGACCCACUCUCGGAAACUACACGCAUGGUAGUCCUGAUGAUCAUGUGGCGUGCUUGGUAUGUACGUAAUGAAAUUACCCAUGGUAAAGUUCCUCCACCAACCGAGGCGUCCUGCAGGUUCCUCCAUGGAUACAUCAACUCACUGUUGUGUAUUCAAGAAUGGCCCAAAGGUGAUAUGGAAAAAGGUAAAAUGGUCAUUCAGCUAGGUGCCCCGGCUAGCUACCAUGACACAGAGAAGAAGUAUGAGCAGCGUUGGGUUUUACCACCGGCCGGUUGGACAAAACUAAACGUCGAUGGAAGCCAUGUACCCGCCACUGGAGCUGCGGGUGGAGGGAUGGUGCUACCUACAGAGCGAUGGGAAAUUAUCUUCACCGCAUGUAGAGAAAUACGCACAUGUGAUAAUAGCCUGGAAGCUGAAUUAGCGGCCUGCAAGGAGGGACUCGAGCUCGCGCUACACCGUACCGAGUUGCCCAUUGUGAUCGAGAUGGACUGCGCCGAAGCUGUCAUGUUGUUGAAUGCCAGGACGAUCGAUCGCUCGAGGGUCCGUGUGAUGGUGGAAGAGAUCAAGAGGAUGGUUGUUGAUGACUCUAGGGAGAUUUCUAUUACUGCUAUUAGUCGUUCGCAAAAUAAAGUCAGCCAUGCACUAGCUGCAUAUGGGAGGAGCACCCCUCGUACUGCAGUAUGGUUGGGCUCAGAGGUGUGGGGGCUGACCGCGCCAAUGCAAGGUAGCAGCGCGGGGCGCAGCCGGUCGGGGGUGAUUCAACAGCAUGCCAACCCGGUCAGAGUCCUCCUCCAAGUCGUCAACUGUUGUGGAUGUUUGACCGAACGGGUCCUCCCCCAGAUCGCGGUCCCUAUUGAUCGGUGUACCAAAUCUUUCUAG
rnacentral:rRNA from 1 species